UUAGUCAGUAUGCUUGAUUGAACCGCAUGGUUCAAUUAUAAAAGGUGGCUUUUAGCUACCACUUACAGAUGGACCCGCGGCGCAUUAGCUAGUUGGUGAGGUAACGGCUCACCCAACGAUGCGUAGCCGACCUGAGAGGGUGAUCGGCCACACUGGGACUGAGACACGGCCCAAACUCCUACGGGAGGCAGCAGUAGGGAAUCUUCCGCAAUGGACGAAAGUCUGACGGAGAUGAUCCAACGCCGCGUGAGUGAUGAAGGUUUUCGGAUCGUAAAACUUUGUUAGGGAAGAACAAGUACCGUUCGAAUAGGGAUGAUCGGCGGUACCUUGACGGUACCUAACCAGAGCCACGGCUAACUACGUGCCAGCAGCCGCGGUAAUACGUAGGUGGCAAGCGUUGUCCGGAAUUAUUGGGCGUAAAGCGCAGGCGGUUUCUUAAGUCUGAUGUGAAAGCCCCCUCAACCGGGGAGGGUCAUUGGAAACUGGGGAACUUGAGUGCAGAGAGGAGAGUGGAAUUCCACGUGUAGCGGUGAAAUGCGUAGAGAUGUGGAGGAACACCAGUGGCGAAGGCGACUCUGGUCUGUAACUGACGCUGAGGCGCGAAAGCGUGGGGAGCGAACAGGAUUAGAUACCCUGGUAGUCCACGCCGUAAACGAUGAGUGCUAAGUGUUAGAGGGUUUCCGCCCUUUAGUGCUGGCAAACGCAUUAAGCACUCCGCCUGAGUACUUAGUCAGUCGGCAAGACUGAAACUCAAAGGAAUUGACGGGCCCGCACAAGCGGUGGAGCAUGUGGUUUAAUUCGAAGCAACGCGAAGAACCUUACCAGGUCUUGACAUCCUCUGACAACCCUAGAGAUAGGGCUUCCCCUUCGGGGGCAGAGUGACAGGUGGUGCAUGGUUGUCGUCACGUGUCGUGAGAUGUUGGGUUAAGUCCCGCAACGAGCGCCCCUUGAUCUUAGUUGCCAGCAUUCAGUUGGGCACUCUAAGGUGACUGCCGGUAACCGGAGGAAGGUGGGGAUGACGUCAAAUCAUCAUGCCCCUUAUGACCUGGGCUACACACGUGCUACAAUGGGCAGAACACGAUCAAAGG
rnacentral:rRNA from 1 species